CUAGAAUUCAAUCUGAUAAGAGUUGAACUCAGAAACUUACUGAGAAACUGUUGUUUGUCCAGUAAUUCUACAGUAGAUAUUUUUACGUUCUUCUGAAGAGUUCUUGAUACAGUUAAAGUAGCCAGCAGCAAUGGAGCAGGAAUCUGGACCGUGAGGCCGCCAGUUUUAGAUAUCAGUGAAGUAGUGGACGUAGACGAACCUGAGGAGCCUAACGUGGAGUACACGGAAGUGCUGCAUCCGCAAGCUACUGACCCCACACGAGUUCCAUUGAGGCAAGGCACGGAUACGGUAUACAGUGAGGUUCAGAGGCCUACAUCAGGGUCGUCUGAAGAAUGCUGAACUGAGUCUCUGGAGAGAAUGAGCUGUUUAUCUCACCAUAAAUAUCUCAGUAGUGUGAACACUAGAACACACUAUUUCCUUCCUGUUCCUCUCUGUACUACAAAACCUCAUGCUGCAAAGAUACAGGAUGCUGGAUAUUACACUUUUAUUUCUUUGCUUAAAGGUGCAGGUACUAGAAUUGUGUUCACAUGCUCUUGUUGAUGUUGUUAUUUUAUUUGCAAUUUCAUUAUUAAAACUGAAGGAAAC
ensembl:lncRNA